UUGAGCGAUUUACUUCGGUAAAGAGCGGCGGACGGGUGAGUAACGCGUGGGUAACCUACCCUGUACACACGGAUAACAUACCGAAAGGUAUGCUAAUACGGGAUAAUAUAUUUGAGAGGCAUCUCUUAAAUAUCAAAGGUGAGCCAGUACAGGAUGGACCCGCGUCUGAUUAGCUAGUUGGUAAGGUAACGGCUUACCAAGGCGACGAUCAGUAGCCGACCUGAGAGGGUGAUCGGCCACAGUGGAACUGAGACA
rnacentral:rRNA from 1 species